CUCAUUUUCAACACAAGCAAGAAGGUAACACAACCACCUGAACAAAAUCAAGUUGGCAUUUGUAACGAUCGGAAAAAGAACUUCCCGUUUUCAUCAAAAUAAUUUGAUUGCAAGAUGCAGAUGCAAGCCAUUUUCCUAGCAUUGGCCAUCGCCAUGGUGUCGGCUCAAAAUGAUACCAAAAUCAAACAGGGACAAGCUUGUAGCGAAACCUCGCAAUGUCGACCCAACCUGGUGUGCAACAAUUGGAGGAACGGAUCGAAACUUUGCCAACCAGCCCAAUGCUCAGUGGAAGGCGAAAGGUGUGGCUGGUACAGAGGAAGUUGUUGCCAAACUGAUCCAACCAUCUAUUGUUAUAAGAAGACUGGCAGCCGAAGUCGGUGCACAAGGCUGCAAAAUAUUCCAGAACAAGACAGAAAUCAAGUGGUAGCAAUUGGUGUUUGACCAUGACAUGAGAACCGUUUGACUUGAUUGAUUCCUUGACAUCCACAAUCCAGAAUAAAUUUGCGCAACAUUCAUAUUCAA